AUAUUACUAACCUAGUAUAUAAGGUUAUUAACUUAUAUACUUAUAUUUUUUUGCAUAGUCUUCUCUCACCCUUUACCCCCCCAUCCACUCACCAACAUAAAUAGAUCAUAAGCUCUCUAGUUUUAUUUAAACUAAUUUUUAUUUAAAGCAGUGUAACAAAGCUAGCACAAAAUGUAAUUCAGUACUUCAGUGCUUCUACCUGGUAAGCUCUCAAAUCUCACCAUCUGUCACUGCACACAACCUUGGGGUAGUCCUAGACAACAAACUUUCCUUCCCACCUCACAGCACUUAACAGACUUGCUCAUGCAAACUCCAGAAAAUGCCUUUCUUGAAACAAGCAAGACACACUUAAGUCUAGUUAAAGUGUACUAAAAUCAAGCAAAAAAUUCCAAUGGGGUAAGCAAAACUGUCUCAGUAUGAAUUCUUGAAAAUAGCAUAAAUAUCUAGUCACUAAAAAUGCUAUUGGAUCUCAAAAAAAGAUAAAAAUGGCAAAAUUUAAGCAAGUUGUGCUUAUUACAAGCAAUGAAAAUGUUAUUCAAGAUAGACUUACUUACUUAAUCUAAGAUUGUUACGAAGCGUAGAUGGAGACAAGCGCGGGCGAGCGGAGGGAUGACGUGAGGAAGAAUCCAGAACGAGAAUCGAAUCGGGACAGGAUAGGUAAGCUGUGAAUCAGGGACGUAGGCAAAAGCGUAGUGAGAGACGAGCGUGAAGUCGAGCACCAGGGAAAACACUUCUAAUGAAAUCGGCUUGGUAAACAAACAGAGACGAGGCUGCUGAGCAGUUACUUUGCAAGCGGCUAAUGCUAGGGAGGCCCUUAUAUAACCUUAGGUGUUUGCAGGUGUUCGUAAUUAGACCUCCGGCUAACUCGAGCGUGGGUAUGACUGGGAAGUGUAGUCCUCCUCUGCCACGUUCCUGGGCGGCCCUACACUUUGUGAGCUGCCACGCCGAUUUCGCCGUGUUGUAACAGAGCCCCCCCCCAAAGGGCUCACUCCGGGAGCCGAAGUUCUCCGAGGCCUCCCCCCCUCCAGGGGGCUGGUUUGUCUGGAUGAGCCGCGUGGAAGUCCUUACGCAGGCCUGCGUCCAGAAUGUCUCGGGCUGAAACCCAGCACUGUUCCUCUGGUCCAUACCGCUCCCAGUCUACCAGAUACUGAAGUCCCCCUCUCCUCCGUCUGGAGUCUAAAAUGUUGCGGACACGGUAGGCUGGGCGGCCUUCUAUCUCCAACGGUUCCGGUGGGGAAUCCUCCGGCACCGCUGUGGCCAAGGGGCCUGAGAUCACAGGUUUGAGAAGUGAGACGUGGAAAGACGGGGCGAUGUGACUGUGUCUCAGAAGGUCCAGACGAUACGUGACUUCAUUAAUUUGCCUCAGAAUUGGGAAGGGCCCGAUAUACUUCGGUUGAAGUUUUGUGCCCGUGAUGGGUCUCAGAUCUCUUGUGGAGAGCCACACCCUGUCCCCGGGUCGCUAAUUAGGGUGAGCCCUCCGGCGCCGGUCGGCCUUUCGUUUAGCGAUGGGGGACGUCUGCACCAGCUGUUGAUGGGCACGCUCCCUGACCUGUUCACUUCGGCGGAACCACUCAUCCACUGCUGGCGAGUCCGUGUGAGACGCGUUCCAGGGGAAUAAUGGCGGUUGGUAACCCAAGACACACUGGAACGGGGUGAGCUGGGUGGCAGAAUGCCAUAGCGAGUUCUGGGCGUAUUCCGCCCAUGGAAGGUACUGACUCCAGUACCCUGGGUUGGCCGAGCAGUAAGUCCGAAGGAACUGUAUGACUUCCUGGUUGGCCCGUUCUGCCUGUCCGUUAGCCUGGGGGUGGUAACCGGACGUGAGAUUAAUGGCGACCCCCAUCUUCCUCGUAAAGCUGGCCCAAACCCGCGAUGUGAACUGUGGCCCCCUAUCAGUCACAAUCUCCUCGGGGAUGCCAAAGUAUCAAAAGACGUGUUGAAACAGGAGUUCCGCCGUGGUGAAGGCAGACGGGAUGGCUGGUACUGUAAUUAAGCGCAGGGACUUCGAGAACCGAUAUACGACCCCCAGUAUCGCGGAGUUCCCCUGCGACUUCGGCAAGUCGGUUAUGAAAUCGAGGGCCAGAUGGGACCACGGACGUUCAGGUAUGGGUAAGGGUACCAACUUCCCAGCCGGGAGCGCACGUGGGCCCUUGGACUGAGCGCAAGAGGAACACGAGGAUACGAUGCGCUGAACCUCUCUGGGCAUGUUGGGCCUCCAGUACUUCUUGGCCAGCAGUUGGUAAGUGCGGCGGGCCCCCGGGUAGCCCGUGGCCAAAGUCGUGUGGGCCCAGGUGAUGAGUUCGAGACGGUCCCGCUUAGGCAUGAACUGUUUGUCGGGAGGACAGGCUGCUGGGAUUCUUGCGCUGGGGAUACAGGCUAAGUUCUGUGCUAGGGGCCACUCCAGGGCGCCCACUAUGCAGGAGGGAGGCAUAAUGUAACUCUCUUGCUCCGUCGGCCACUCUGGGGCAUAAAUGCGAGACAGGGCCUCAGCCUUUGUAUUCUUUGAACCAGGUCGGUAAGACAGGGUGAACUGGAACCUGGAGAAGAAUAAGGACCAGCGGGAUUGGCGAGGAGUGAGCCGUUUGGUGGUUCAUAGAUAUUCCAAAUUCUUAUGGUCCGUGAAGAUAACAAAUGGGUGUACUGCCCCCUCCAACCAGUGUCUCCACUCUUCUAGGGCCAGCUUGAAGUUCACGGUUCCCCACAUCAUAGUUGCGCUCUGCUGGCGACAACUUCCAGGAAAAAAAGGCCACGGGGUGUAACUUGGGACUCUUGCCAAACCUUUGCGAUAGAAUUGCUCCCACUCCCACCUCUGACGCGUCGACCUCCACGAUAAAAGGCCUGGAGGGAUCCGGGUGUCUGAGAAUGGGAGCCGUGGUGAAAGCCCGCUUAAGUCUCUUCAGAGACUCCUAGGCAACUGGGGUCCACAGCAGUCGCCUGGGCUUACCUCUCAGGAGCAACGUCAGGGGUUGCACUACUUUACUGAAGUGUCUAAUGAAUCUUCGGUAAAAAUUUGCAAAGCCAAGGAAACGCUGCAACUUCCUGACGAUUCGCGGAGUGGGCCACUCCACGACCGCCUGAAUCUUACGCUGGUCCAUAGCGACUCCCCUUGGGCUAAUGAUAUACCCCAGGAAAGAGAUUGUGUGCUGGUGGAAUUUGCACUUCUCGGCCUUUAUGUACAGCUGGUACUGUAGGAAGCGUUGCAGUACGUGCCGGACAUGCUGGACAGGUUCCUCCAGGGAGGUCGAAUAAAGCAGGAUGUCGUCAAUGUAGGCAAUGAUGUACCUUCCUAGCAUGUCCCUCAGAGCGUCGUUGAUCAGGUUCUGGAACAUGGAGGGGGCGUUAGCGAGCCCAUACAGCAUGACCAGGUACUCAUAAUGUCCAGAGGUGGUGCUGAAGGCCGUUUUCCACUCGUCCCCCUCCCUAAUACGAAUUAAGUUAUAAGCGCUGCGGAGGUCCAGCUUAGUGAAGAAGGUGGCGGACUGUAACUGUUCCAAGGCUGAGGGGACGAGAGGCAGUGGAUAUCAGUACUUAACGGUUACUUGGUUGAGGGCCCAAUAAUCAAUGCAUGGUCGGAGGCCCCCUCCUUCCUUCUCCACAAAGAAGAACCCGGCAGACGCAGGGGAUGUGGACGGUCGGAUGUACCCCUGCCAGAGAGCCUCCUGAAUGUACUCCUUCAUGGCCUGCUGCUCCGCUUGGGAGAGCGGGUAAACGUGACCCCGAGGUAGGCUGGCCCAGGGGAGGAGGUCAAUGGCACAGUCGUAGGGUCUAUGAGGUGGAAGACAACUGGCCCUCUCCUUGCUGAACACCUCAUGUAGGUCGCGGUACUCGGUGGGGAUUUUAACUGGGGCAAGCGACAGGGGACUCUCCACCGUCGUGGUGGCCAAAGGGACCGUGGGGCCCCUCAAACAAUUCUGCAAGCAAUACGGGGACCAUUGUGUGAGUUGCUUGUCAGUCCAGGAAAUUUGGGGGUUGUGCAGUUCCGGCCAGGGGAGUAUGAGUAUAACGGGGUGUCUGAUGGAGACCGGGAUGUAAAGGACCAGAGUUUCGUGGUGAAGGGCACUAACUUGAAGGCUGACAGGGUGUAUGCUGUGAGAUAUUACGCCUCCCCCUAUAGGCGACCCAUCAAUGGAUUGGAGCUCACGCGGACGGAGGAAGGGAUGUAUGGAAAGGCUGAGCUCCUGUGCCGUCUUCUCAUCUAUGAAGUUCUCCGCUGCUCCGGAGUCGAUGAGUGCUGAAAGAACAAAAGAACGGCCUGAAUUUUCUAUCACGACAGGUACAGAAAAUACGUGAGACGUACAAGACUGGUUGGGACUCACCCAGGCAUGACAAGGUGGGUUGUCAGUGCACCUCCCGUUCCCUCGGCGCCCCCUGUGCGGGCAUUGGCUGAUGGCAUGGGUGUCCUCACCGCAGUAGAAGCACCGGAACUCAUUGCAUCUUCUCUCCCUCUCCUCCUUGCGGGUCCGUGCCCUUCCGAGCUGCAUGGGUUCGCUUGCUGCGCCCGGCUCAGCUGGCAGUAAACCGUGUGGUCUGGGACGGUUGGUAUGGCACAGACGAUCCAGCCUUAUGGUCAGAUCCACGAGGUCAUCAAACAUUAGCUGUUCACCCCGACAGGUCAACUCUUGCAGUAACUCUGGAUCGAGGCCACAGCGAAACGCGGUCUUAAGGGAUGGUUCGUUCCAGCCACUUCGGGCAGCGAUAGUGCGAAACUCUAGCGCGUACUCUCUUGCAGUACGAGAGCCCUGUUUGAGUUCCAUGAGCUCAUCACCAGUCUCCCAGCCAUCAGGAGAAUGGUCAAAGGCGCGCUGGAACCGGGCAAGGAAGUCAUCUAACGAGGGUCUGACACCACCUCCUCGCUCCCACUCAGCCGUGGCCCACGCCAAGGCUGUUCCAGAGAGUAAUUCCAUAAAAUGGGUUAACUUACGGACCUCAGGCAUCUCUGGGUGACUCUUGAAGAACAGCGCACAUUGUAACAUGAAGCCCUUGCAUUGCUCCGGCUCCCCAGCGUAUCUCUCUGGUGUGGACAGAGGCGGGUUGUGCGCCGGCAGCGCAGGAGUGUGAACAGCCGGCGCUGGAAUGUGCGCAGCUGGUGUCGGCUGAACAUGCACUGGGGCGGUUGGCGGUGGUGACGCGAGAGCAGGGGGCGUGGCGUUGGUGGAUGCGGAAACGCUCAGUCACGAGACUUCGGCACGCAACGCGGAUAUCUCAUCCUGAUACACCGCUAGCAUGCGGUUUUGUUCCAGGAUGACACGUUCCCAAUCCGAGGUGCCCGCUGCCUCCGUAGUAUGGCAAAGUAAUCUGUUACGAAGCGUAGACGGAGACAAGCGCGGGCGAGCGGAGGGAUGGCGUGAGGAAGAAUCCAGAACGAGAAUCGAAUCGGGACAGGACAGGUAAGCUGUGAAUCUGGGACGUAGGCAAAAGCGUAGUGAGAGACGAGCGUGAAGUCGAGCACCAGGGAAAGCCUGGUGGGAGGCCCUUAUAUAACCUUAGGUGUUUGCAGGUGUUCGUAAUUAGAACUCGAGCACGGGUAUGACUGGGAAGUGUAGUCCUCCUCCGCCACGUCCCUGGGCGGCACUACACUUUGUGAGCUGCCGCGCCGAUUUCGCCAUCUCGUAACAAAGAUUAAUAAUUAUAAUAAAAUAAAGAGCUUACAAUAAGACACAGUUUCUUCAAACAAUAAUAAAUAAAUAAUAAACUAGUAUAAAUAAUAAAUAAUGAAAUAAUAAUAAAAAAUAAUUGACUUUGUCUUAAAUUAAGGCACCAGAAGCAUUGGUAUUUUUAGCAUUACUAAAACAGGGGAAAUGCUGCAACAUAGUGUCAGGGAUUGUAGAAGGUGACAGAUGCAAGCACAGAUUUUUCUGAAUAAAGUGCAAAACAAACAAACAACCAAAACUGUGAAAACAAGAACCAUAAACAUAACAAUGAGCACAUGGCAAAAACAUGAAGACUGUGAGAGUGGCUGUAGGACACACGAUAACACAUGAACACAAAAACAACAAAAGCUUGACAAUUAGGUGCUGAAAAACUAGAACUUCUAUAGGGGUGAUUGUUAGGGGUAACACAGAACAGGUGUGAGUGGUCAGUGGGGCAUGCAACAUGGUCAUGUGACAUGCUGGGUCUGAUUGAUAAUGUAGUUCAGUGUGGAUUUCAGCAUAACCAUGACACAUAGCUGCUUCAAUGAAAAAUUUAGGUUUGCAAGUGGUCUUAUUCUUAAAAUAAGGAAGACCAUCUUUUAUUAUGCAAACCAUUGUUGUAGCUUGUUACUGGUUAAAUCUUGCUCAAUAUUAGCUGGAAUAUAUUAUUAAGACAAAGUUAGAUAUAUUUUCUCAAAAUGAGAUUGCUUUUUUAAUGCAAAACAUGCUCAACAAGAUUAUUUUUUUUUCACACAAAAAAAACUAAUUUCCCAGAAACAAGGCAUUUUUUUACUUUUUUGAAAUUCCCUUUUUGCAGUGCAAGUUUCUUCAUAACAAAAUCAGGAGGACUUAGCAAUUUCUAUAAAAACAAAGGCCACUUGUUCAAUCUCUUGCCAUUUCAAGGACUACUGCCACACCCCACUCUGUACCAUGCUCCCUCUGAGCCUCUAGCACUGCUCGAUUGGCCCCCCCAACUCUUGGGGUACAAGGAACACAUGUAUUAAUGCUCUCCUGGCACCCAGUUGGUGGAAUGAACUUGUGCAUGUCUUCAGACGAAGACGUAAUACAUACCUCUUCACCAAACACUUACAUUUGCACUUUGUUAAUUAAAAAAAAAAUGCUUUUCAUGUUUUUUUUUCAUAUUGUAAUAACCUCCCCAACAGGGUUUUUAGACUGAUGGUACUCUUAGUCCCUGACUACAAAGCACUUCUGUUGUUAGACAAACAAAAUGCCUUUGCUGUACAAGCAAAACAAAUGCAAAUGCAACUACAUGAGACUCGAGAGAGAACUCGCUUGAAGUAAGGUUACACCAAGAAAAAUAGACGCUAACCUCUUCCCCUCAUCUCUGUCAUGAAUGUUGUAUUUCCUGUUUAUGUUGGAUUGUAUUUCUGAUUUUCUGGUUAUUGUCAAAUACCUCACGCUGUGUGACAAAGUUCUAUUUCCACUCACUUUACGUGCUACAUAUUACAAACCUUAAGAGUCUGCAACUGAAAUUCUGCACCACACUGCUCUCAACGUAUGGUUUCCAGUUGUUUAGUAACCUGUGUUUUACACCCUGAAUUACAUUCAAAAUUACGUUCAGAUGGUGCAACUGGCUGCAGAACAAUAAACUGUAUGCUUGGUAAUUAUGGUAGACCAUGCAGGGUAAAAUUUUUAACUUCAGGAAGCCUGGAAUGUAAUGGCGAGAAUUAUUUUUACUUGCCUGUAGAUUUCACAUGAAAGAGUUUUGUGAAUCCUGAAAUAUGACUGCAUAAACAUGAGAUCAGUUUGGUUUUGCACAGAUGAAAAUGCCAUUCAUAUGAAGGAAGGCAAAUAAGAAUAUAUGUAGCAUCCUUUAUGUGGAAGAAAAUGUAUGUUCAUGUAUAUUACUACUCGUAUCAAAAUAUAACUAAAUAUAACUAUCUGAAUAAGAACUAAGAAAAUAAGAACUUCCAAAUUUAUUUAAUAUGUCAACAUAGUGUAUGUAAAACAUAGAAUAGAAUAAUUGUUUUAGAUUUCCUUAUACAGUGAGGGAAAAAAGUAUUUGAUCCCCUGCUGAUUUUGUACGUUUGCCCACUGACAAAGAAAUGAUCAGUCUAUAAUUUUAAUGGUAGUUGUAUUUGAACAGUGAGAGACAGAAUAACAACAAAAAAAUCCAGAAAAACGCAUGUCAAAAAUUUUAUAAAUUAAUUUGCAUUUUAAUGAGGGAAAAAAGUAUUUGACCAUCUCUCAAUCAGAAAGAUUUCUGGCUCCCACGUGUCUUUUAUACAGGUAACGAGCUGAGAUUAGGAGCACACUCUUAAAGGAAGUGCUCCUAAUAUCAGUUUGUUACCUGUAUAAAAGACACCUGUCCACAGAAGCAAUCAAUUAAUCAGAUUCCAAACUCUCCACCAUGGCCAAGACCAAAGAGCUCUCCAAGGAUGUCAGGGACAAGAUUGUAGACUUACACAAGUCUGGAAUGGGCUACAAGACCAUGGCCAAGCAGCUUGGUGAGAAGGGGACAACAGUUGGUGCGAUUAUUCGCAAAUGGAAGAAGCACAAAAGAACUGUCAAUCUCCCUCGGCCUGGGGCUCCAUGCAAGAUCUCACCUCGUGGAGUUGCAGUGAUCAUGAGAACAGUGAGGAAUCAGCCCAGAACUACACGGGAGGAUCUUGUCAAUGAUCUCAAGGCAGCUGGGACCAUAGUCA